ensembl:lncRNA
CAAGAGGAAAAUAACAUUUUUUGACCACCCAAAAGAAAUCCCUCUCUUGAAACAUAUUGCCGCCUAGUUGAGAAAGAUGUACAUAAUCUCCUGGCUAAGAAAAAAUAAUACAAGGUAUUCCACAAUAUGUCCAAAGCAGAGAAAUAAUCUCUUAUGUGACUGAAAAAUGACUCCAGUAUCCUUAUAAAACCUGCCGACAAAGGAGGUGCAAUAGUGAUCCUAAAUGUAGCAGACUAUGCAAAGGACAUUCUGAGACAAAUUCUGAGACAACUUAGUGAUGCUGACUCCCAAAGUACCCUACUAAUCAAUUAAAGUCUCUGAUCCAUGAUAUAUUGUCAACCUUUUUGAAUGAAGGGGAAAUUACAAAGACAGAAUAUGACUAGAUUGAAGUUGACUGUCCAACCGCACCUGUCAUAGACGCUCUACCCAAAAUUCACAAGAUCAUGACACCACCUAUACCAGGCAGGCCCAUUGUGAGCAGUAAUGGAUCUCUGACAGAGAAUAUCUCUCCCUUUUGUAGACCAUUUUGUGAAACCCUGGGCGAUCUCCCUCCCCACGUAUACUAGAGACUCUAUUGAUUUUAUAAAUUUUUUGAAAUCUGUGGACUAUAUACCUGAAAAUUCUAUUUUGUGUAUUUUUGAUGUUACCAGGUCUAUAUACACCCCCAUCAGGGCGGCCUAGAGGCCCUCAUGUUCUACCUCAAUGAAAGUCCCCCUAAUGCUCUACCCAGCACCAAUUGUAUUGUGGACAUGGCUGAACUGGUACUAACCUCAAACUAUUUUCUCUUCAGAGGAGACUUCUUCCUCCAGACCAAAAGGACAGUGAUGGGGAGCACUAUGGCUCCUAAUUAUACUAACCUAUAUCUAGGAAUGUUUGAAAAACAGGUGGUGCUGAAUCCAGACCUUAACCCUUUUCUCUCCAAUAUUCUCCAAAUUCUGAGAAAUUUGAAUGACAUUUUCAUAAUCUAUACUGGGACCCAGGAAGAACUUUUGGAGUUCCAUGCUUAGCUAAACUCUAUGAAUGAACACCUUCACUUCAGCAUUAACUAUGACCUAUCACAAAUCAAUUUUCUUCAUGUGAUGGUUAAUUAAGGGCAAAACACCCCUCUCUACAGUUCUCUAUGGGAAACCUACGGACAAGAAUACCCUCCUUAGAGGUGUCAGCUUUCAUCCACGUCAACAUAAAGAAAUGUAGCCUAAUUAUUAAUUCAUAUAUUUAGUUAACAUUAGACAGUUAAUCCAGAGAUUCUUACCUACGCAUCGAUUCGGCAGUCUCGCACCAGAUCAUCAUGGCAUUUGUAGUUCUUUAUGAUAGCCACAUUAGCAGCUAAUUAGCAUUUCAUUUUUGGGGGGUAAAUACAUGCGAAUAUAUUGAUAAAAGUCAGCUUGUCCUAGAGAGAUUUACACAGUUAUCAAAACGUCACGUUAGGGUAACCCUACAUGAAACACAGCCCUUAUUUUAAGUGUUUCUAAAAUCUAUGGGGAAAAUGAAUGGUGGAAAAACUACUAUUGGAACCAUUUCCCUGUUUGACCUCUGAGUUUUAUGGGUAUUAUGACUCACACUGUGGUACUCUAUAGUCCACUCAGUAACAGUAAAAGGGCUCUCCAAACCUUUUCCUGGAGAGAUACCCUUCUGUAGGUCUUCGCUACAACCCCAGUUGUAACGAUUCAGUUUAUCAACCAGCUAAUUAUUAGAAUCAUGUGUACUAGAUUAGGGUGGCUGCAGUUCUGCAGCUGUGAGCUGGAACCUGGGGCUGACUAUAUUCAACCUGUUUGAAAAUGAUCAGGACACCGCAAGUGCCCGUGAGAGCCAAUAACCUCAAAUCGGUAUGUGAUUACACUUUACGAGCUGCGGCGUUACAUUUUACUCCGGGUUUGCUCUGAUUUCCUCCGACUUGGAAAAAUACGCCAAGAGCUGAUCGGGAGCCAUAGAUCGGAAGUGCCGGGAAGUCGGGAAAGAACAAGUUCAGACUAGGAUACAUUUGAAAGGUCAUCGAACUCGGAAUUCAAAAUCUUUCUCUUUGAUAACAACAUUUAUCCACAAAGAAUUGUUGCGCCACCCUGUUCAAGUGAGCACAUCACAACAAGGUGAGUCCAAAAAGGUCUUAUAUGCUGCUGCAUAAAUUAUGUAAUAUGCCAGGGAGAUAUGUAUACAGUAGCUAAGAAACGAAUACUAAGUGUAUGUUGUGUAGGAAGCUGUUAGUAGCCCAUGUGCCUCAUCCUAAUAAUUUGGCCUAUUUUCACCUCUUAAUUUUGCUUAACGUUACUGUUUCUGACUCGGUGGUGCACAUGUAGCCUAUAACCUGUUUUUUGAGCAAUGUCAUCAUCUAAUAUUGUAAGAGCUUUCAUUGACAGCUUAUAUGCCCCCUUUAUUUAUCCUAUGAUUCUGACUUGGUGUACAGGGAAUGUUCUGCAUUCUGUCACUGUACAUUUCAAAAGUGCUGAACACAUAGUUAUAUUGACUAUGUCUUAGUUCGCUCAUUAAUGUCUUAAUUGAAAUUACGGAAUGCCUCUUAUCCACUCAUCGUUCCCUUAUGCCAUCUCAAUUGUCAGUAGAAACCAUAUUUGUUUAAACAAGUCAGCCAUAUCAGCUACGUUUUUUAAAAAGGCAGUAAAUGAGGCUAAAUGAACUGUUUCACUGCCAGACAAGGCUCUGCUGACAGCCAGGUGUAGCGGUGGUAAGGAUUCACUCCAUUGUGCUGGAAAGAAAGCUCUGCUGUUGGGACAGCUUUAUGUAGGCCCUAAGAGUUUUGUGGGCACCACUUGUCACCAUUAUAGUGCAAUUAAUGUAUUGUUUAGUGUUGUGUUGUGUAGUGGUCUUUGCUGCCAUAUACACCUAAAAAAAUGUCUUUGAGUUUACCCCACCAAGAUUUACAUGCUAAAAUCGCCACUGUGUACAGUCAUUGUUUAAAGUCUCAGUAAGCUAAUUUGUGAUACAGUGAAGGUUAAUACACAUAUAGGUGAAUUUGUCCCAAUACUUUUGGUCCUCUAAAAUGGGGGGACUAUGUACAUAAAGUUCUGUAAUUUCUAAACAGUUCACCCGAUAUGGAUGAAAAUACCCUCAAAUGAAAGCUGACAGUCUGCUCUUCAAUUAUAUCAUUGUAUCAUUUCAAAUCCAAAGUGCUGGAGUACAGAGCCAAAACAACAACAAAAAGUGCCACUGUUCCAAUGCUUUUGGAGCGCACUGUAUGUUAGCUCUAAUGAUACAUUAGAUCAUGUAUUGAAUAUUUAACCACCCUGUAGUGACAUUCAUGAAUGGCUUGAUACAGUUUUAUGAAUGGCUUGAUACAGUUUUAUGAAUGGCUUGAUACAGUUUUAUGAAUGACUUGAUACGGAUUUCUCCAUACCCACUUUGAAGUAAUGGUUUACACAAAAAUGCAUGAAAUAAAUGUUCUUUACACUGAAUUGUUUUGACAUUUACAAAAACAGUCCCAAUCUGAUGGUGGACACCACAUUUGCAGUGCCAGCCUUUCAUGAUUAUGCUUACAAUGGUGACUGGCAGAUAAUUACAACUUGGGUUUUUUUCUUGAUAAUUUAUUCUGUUAAACACUGCUUCUUUGUAUAGUUGCAGACCGUUGCCCUGACGGUAUUCAUUAACAGCUAGUUGUAAUCUGUCCUAGUUCCUUAAUUAAACAUCACCCAUUGUAAUGCUCAUUAUGGUUUCUGAUUUUACUUUACAUUUCAGGUCACAGAUGGUACCAGAUAUGUGACUGGUAGCAGGCUUGCUGACAGAGAACAAAUUAAGUUUGUGGUCUUACCUGCAAAAGUUUGGGAAGAUCACAAAAGAGAUGACACCAGCUCAUCGUGUUGACACCCUCAUUGAUUCCCUCCUCUAUUACUUAGCCAGGGUCAGGGCAAGGUAGGAAUUUAAAACUAGGAAUCAGUUAAGUAUUGAGAGGGCCCAUUUUUCAGGAUUGUGUUGAUAUCCCAUCAUUUUGCACAGAGUAUAACGGCAAUGUAUUUUAAAGUAUCUAUGACGUGUAUGUUCCCCUUCCUGUUUUAGCACUGGAAACACAACUCUGGCGGCAGAAAGUCCUGGAGGAGGAAACCGAGGCAAAGGAGGAGUUGAUGGUGCUGCUAUAGGCAGCAUUCCAGUAGUGGUCGUCAGUGAGGUGCACAGCUGCAGGUUUCUGUCCGUCAUGACUGGGAAAGGCCUAGAUUCUAGGCCGUAGAAGAUCCUACAGCGAUCUCGUUAGAUCAGAACUGGAUUGAUCAACAGUGAUUCGUAAUACUGGUUUGCAUCCUAAAAAAAAAAGGAUAGUUGUGUUUUGCUGCAUAACACAUUCUUUUUUCUACCCAUAUGAUGUGGAUCAUUGUCAGGUUAUUGGAUGUGUCCGUUUCAGUAACAACAGAACACCAUGGUUGUAAUAACUCUUUUAACAGGUAGUUUGUAAAUGUGUAGAAUGUGUUUGUUUUGGGUCAUCACUGGUAAAUGAAUUUGAUGUAAAUUAGACAGUCAGAGGAUUUUCUGAGUAACUGGUCAGGGCAUAGCACUUUCCAUUUAGCUUCAGGCAACUUUGAUGUAAGGUUUGAUCACACCUGUAGUGACUACUUUACCAGUCUGGCCCAUUGAUUGUGAACAAUGGAUAAGCAACAAUGUAAUUACACCCAACACAAUGUUGACAAAAAUGUUUUUAUUCAAAAACUAUUAAUUGUGAUAUGUUUGUUUGUUUAUGUAUGACUGAAAAAAAAAAUAAGAUACACAAUAAUAAAGUGA